CAAGGAAAUCCCACCUUGUGAAGUCUACUUUGACCCAUUUGCUGUUUCCUGAUAUAUUUGGUGAGGAACUACUACGAAGCAUCCAAUCACAUCAAAGUGUGUUUUCCAGCAAUAUCAUGCAAAGGAUCUCAAGCAGAGAUAAAUGUGCCUGCUUUUUGUGUUAAGAUUAACAACAUGGAAUAGCAGCCUCUCCACAAUAGAAGACUCUUUUAUAUUUUUCCCACAUUUCUACAUUUCUCUGAAAUGUAGACAGCCAUACUUCCGAAUAUGUUUGAGGUAAGUGUUGUUAGAAGCAGUAACCUACCUGGGUGUGAAUGUGGUACAUACUGUACACAGGUUGCACAGAUUAGUUUAUCCUUAAUUUUAGGGUAAAUUUUGUAGUGUAGAAACACAGUCUGAAGCAAUUCAUGGAGAAUUCAUUCUUGUGAUUGAUGGACUUAACUAUCCUACUAUCCUUUACUUACUUUAUCCUACUAUGUGGAAUAGGGCCUCAGGUGAGGGUCCCCAAAAUGUUCCAACAUGCAAAGAUUAGGUCAAGUGUGGGACCAAGGGGUGGAUACUCUUUGUGGUGAUGACUGUGGUAAGUCUUACAACUUAAGAGCAGAAAAAUUGUAUUUUUGGGAAAUCAGGUGCUCCUAAGGCUUGGAGGAGGGUUAUACAGAUGUUAUCCUACCAGAGCUUUCCAGGAAGAAGACUUGAGUGUGCAGUACUUCUUGCAAUCAGUUGUCUGCUCAAGAAGGGUCUUGGAGAUGCCAUAUGUACUGCAUUCUGUUAAAAGUAGGUCUGAGUAUUUAUCAUGGCAAUAGUGGAGAGGCAGUAAAAUGAGUUUAAAUAGAAGCUAUUUUAGUGGAUAUUCCUAUUUGGCUGCUGCUGCUACUGGAAGAAAGGUGGCUGAAAGAUAACACAGAUGGCACAGCAGCCUGUCAGCUACCUUUCUUCAUUAACUUAGACUGCAAUAAAACACAGCUUUUUAAAACAAAGUUCAAGUAGCCAGAGCCUCUCUGCGGAAAUUAAUUUCCUCUGGAAGCUAGUUUCACGUAACUCAUCACCUACUUCACUGAACAUUAUUCAGCCCUGUCAGUAGUGACAGAAGUGCUUGACAGAGCUGCUGAAAACUGGGUCAUGUGGUGGAUAAAACAUAGCCUGCUUCCCCGAGCUGCUUUUAGUGUGGACCUCCUGAGACUGCAGUAAAUAAUAAAUACCUGCAGGCCACUGUGGGCACUUGGUGCAAUGUUGCAGAACUCAUCUUUGGUCCACGAGAGGAGGAGAUCCUGUAAUAACAUAAACCUACGAAGUAGGUCUUCACAAAUAAACUUUUGGCUGCCUGUCUCUGUUUAUUACUCUGAGCUGUUACUGUGCUGAUUUUUUUCCUGAUAAUGUGUAGGUGUAUACUCUUGCACAAUGCAGUUUCUACCCAUGUGGAUCUAUUUUCCAGCUUAGGGGCUUCUUUUGAGGGCUUUGCUGGUGUGGUGGUAGCAGCUGUUGGUUGUCUGUGCCUCACUAACCCUGCUAACAAGAGGAGCAGUCACACAGUGAGGACACCGUUGCACUGCUCCUGGACAGCUCAGUUCCUUUUUCUGAGAUAAUCUGCAGCUGGUUUAGUGGCUAGUAUCCAUUCCUGGAGGCUCCUGACAAGCACUAGAGCCGGUGCAAGGCAACCAAAAUAGUGUGUACAAGAGUGAUAUAAGGGGUGUAUAACUUCCCCUUUCAGCAUUGGUGGCGAGAUGUUGGAUGGGCUCAGCCACCCUGUGCUGUUUCUCCGAGGCCAAGUCAUGCAUCACUUGAGCCAUAGCAGCUCACCAUACGUGAACUCUCAGCAUGUUCCAGGAAUCAAAGUAGAAAUAGAAAUUCACAUAAAAAAUCUGAAGGCUCAGGUGAAAUGAAUGAUCCUGCUGUCUCUUGAACUGCAUUUCAUCAGGAUGAGGGACACGCUUACAGCAAUUAUUCUCUUGUAGUGGUGUAUCCCCAUGGUGUAGAUGGGUUUAUUCCUUUAGGAGAUUUCUCCAGGUAAACAGAGAUGUGGAUUUGGGCCUUACACUGUGUCUCAGGAGAGAAAGAAAAAAAUAUUUUUGUCUGUCUACAGACCUUGAGGUUUUGGACAGUGAUUGUUUCAUGGUUAGCCUUGAGGUGACACUGGUUAGAGAAAAAUGAAGAGGAGAACUGCCAGUGUUGGAAGAGGAAGAAUGGAUUUACAAAUUCAAAUUGCAAAAGUUUGCAGAGAUGUGAAUGAUAACACCAGUGGAUCAGAUCACAUUAGUCUUGCCCUGAUAUCAGCAUUUCAUCCCCAUUACCUAGCAGCUAUAUCCAGGAGUCUCCCAGUUCCCUCAGUACAAGCAAGCAAAGAAGCAAAUCCAUGCAGGAGAAUAGCGAUCCCUCUGGGGAAAACACACCUUUGUUAGGCUUCCAUCUUGGUUGGUGCUACACAAAAGAAAAAAGCAGAAAGAGCUUUAAUAGCAGAAUAGAGAGCUCCAGCAGGCUUAGCAGCAUGAACAUUAUGUUGGUAGAUGGGCACUGUUGUCUUUAAUAGGUUAUCUUUUUCCAUUAGAACACUGUUUAAAUUUUUAAGUGGUGCACAAGAUCAUAAGGGCUUUUACCAUGUGGGUUCUGAUUUUCAUGUGGGUUUAGAAUGUGUGAGAGAAGCUAAUGCAUUAAGAACUACUCAUGAAUCUCCUCUAUUUCCAGACAUCCCCUGGGAACUAUUGAUGGUCAUUUCAUCUUUCUUAUGUGACUUUUAAGAU